rnacentral:lncRNA from 1 species
UUUUUGUUUUGUUCACAUUCUAUGAGUAAAUUCUUGGAGCAUCAUGUGCCUUUUAUUUUCCUUUUAGAAAUGCACCAUGCUAGUAUGGGAAAGUCCAUGGUUGAGUUAUAGAAUGCUCUUUGCACUUCACUUAUAUCUUUUGAGUAUGACUUUAUAGAAUGCUUCAUGUGCUUCACUAAUACCAUUUGAAGUUGGAUGCCUAUUUCUCUACAUAUAGAAAACCAUUAUUUGUAGAAUGCUCUUUCGCUUCACUUAUAUUCAUUAGAGUGUGGUCUUUUGUAGAAAUAAUUACACUCUCAUGCUUCACACAUACCUAUUUAGAUAGUUAAAAAAAAUUGGUCAUUUACAUGGUUAGCC